rnacentral:misc_RNA from 1 species
AACGCACAUUGCGCCCCUUGGUAUUCCGAGGGGCAUGCCUGUUCGAGCGUCAUUAUAACCAAUCAAGCUUGUCUUGGUAUUGGGGUUCGCCUUCCAGCGGCCCUUAAACCUAAUGGCGGUGCCGUUGGGCUCUCAGCGUAGUAAUACUCCUCGCUACAGGGUCUCGCGGUUGCUUGCUACAACCCCCCAUUUUCUCAGGUUGACCUCGGAUCAGGUAGGGAUACCCGCUGAACUUAA